AACUUCCUUUUGCAUCCGGGAAGCGUGGUUCGUGUAGUACUAGGUCGUCACGUUUUGUGCGCCAAAGACAAAAAAAAAAAAAAAAAAAUGCAGAGGACUCGGAAGUGUUGGGCUGCUGGGUGGCGCUCAUCUUUUAAAAUCUCUAGUUUCGAAGGGCCGAGUAGACUUAGUUCCUUAGGGCGUGCGGAGGCCACGUGCAGCGCUGGGCGCUGAGCCCCCGAGCUCGACGGGCCCUGGGCCUGAGCUUCAAGCAGCGCCGACGGACAAUGUCCUUAUGCUGACAGUGUUGCGUGGCCAUCUUAAGUCUGCGCCGCUACUGUGCAGUGGUAACAUCCUGCUGGUCGCCGCGGGUGGAAUCGGUUGGAAGCUGAGGUCCAAUGGGUGAUGGAAGUUGUAACGAGAUGAGAAUUCUGAAGUGAUGUGGGUGAAGUCUUGAUCAGGAUACUGCAUACACCCGUGAUUUUAAAUAUCAACAGGGAAUAGUGACUGCUAAUGUUAUGAGAACUAUUCUGGCUGUAUUUCAAUAUGUCUAAAUAAAAUGCGGUAUUGAAACAGUGCUUCAUUGUUAU